rnacentral:rRNA from 1 species
AGGACGAACGCUGGCGGCGUGCCUAAUGCAUGCAAGUCGCACGCGCGGAGCGUAAGCUCCGUGAGUGGCGCACGGCUGAGGAUCACGUGGGAACAUGCCUCUUGGUGGGGGACAACAGCGCGAAAGCGGUGCUAAUCCCGCAUACGCUCGCUUGCGAGGAAAGCCGCAAGGCGCCGAGAGAGUGGCCCGCGGCCCAUCAGGUCGUAGGUGGGGUAACGGCCUACCUAGCCGAUGACGGGUAGCUGGUCUGUGAGGACAGACAGCCAGACUGGGACUGAGACACGGCCCAGACUCCUACGGGAGGCAGCAGCAAGGAAUUUUUCGUCAAUGGGCGCAAGCCUGAACGAGCAACGCCGCGUGGAGGAUGACGGCCUUCGGGUUGUAAACUCCUUUGCGGGGGACGAUGAUGACGGUACCCGCGAAUAAGGCUCGGCUAACUCUGUGCCAGCAGCCGC